GGCUUUCAGUUUCUCUCCAUUGAGGAUAAUAUUUGCCAUUACUGUAUAGAAAGAGGAGGUAGAGUAAAUGCACCCCAUAUACACCUCAACCCAGGCCCUUUGCCUGGUCUGUAUUGUGAAUUGGGGGACAAAA